UACAAAGGUCUCAAGCGUUGUUCGGAUUCAUUGGGCGUAGAGGGCGCGUAGGCGGCGCGGUAAGUCGGGUGUGAAAUCUUGGAGCUUAACUCCGAAACUGCAUUCGAUACUGCCGUGCUUGAGGACUGGAGAGGAGACUGGAAUUUACGGUGUAGCGGUGAAAUGCGUAGAUAUCGUAAGGAACACCAAUAGCGAAGGCAGCUCGCUGGGACGGUACUGACGCUAAGGCGCGAAAGCGUGGGGAGCGAACAGG
rnacentral:rRNA from 1 species